rnacentral:rRNA from 1 species
AUUGAACGCUGGCGGCAUGCCUUACACAUGCAAGUCGAACGGCAGCACGGGAGCAAUCCUGGUGGCGAGUGGCGAACGGGUGAGUAAUGUAUCGGAACGUACCUUUCAGUGGGGGAUAACGUAGCGAAAGUUACGCUAAUACCGCAUAUUCUGUGAGCAGGAAAGCAGGGGAUCGCAAGACCUUGCGCUGAUUGAGCGGCCGAUAUCAGAUUAGCUAGUUGGUGAGGUAAAGGCUCACCAAGGCGACGAUCUGUAGCGGGUCUGAGAGGAUGAUCCGCCACACUGGAACUGAGACACGGUCCAGACUCCUACGGGAGGCAGCAGUGGGGAAUUUUGGACAAUGGGCGCAAGCCUGAUCCAGCCAUGCCGCGUGAGUGAAGAAGGCCUCGGUGUAAGA